UUCUACGGCCAUGCCACCCUGAACAAGCCCGAUCCCACUCUGAUCUCGGAAGCUAAGCAAGGUUGGGCCUGCUUAGUACUUGGAUGGGAGACCACCUAGGAAGACCAGGUGCUGUAGGCA
rnacentral:rRNA from 1 species